rnacentral:rRNA from 1 species
AGAGUUUGAUCCUGGCUCAGAACGAACGCUGGCGGCAGGCCUAACACAUGCAAGUCGAGCGCGCUUUCGGGUGAGCGGCGGACGGGUUAGUAACGCGUGGGAACGUGCCCUUCUCUACGGAAUAGCCUCUGGAAACGGAGAGUAAUACCGUAUACGCCCUUUGGGGGAAAGAUUUAUCGGAGAAGGAUCGGCCCGCGUUAGAUUAGGUAGUUGGUGGGGUAACGGCCUACCAAGCCUACGAUCUAUAGCUGGUUUUAGAGGAUGAUCAGCAACACUGGGACUGAGACACGGCCCAGACUCCUACGGGAGGCAGCAGUGGGGAAUCUUAGACAAUGGGGGCAACCCUGAUCUAGCCAUGCCGCGUGAGUGAUGAAGGCCUUAGGGUCGUAAAGCUCUUUCGCCUGUGAUGAUAAUGACAGUAGCAGGUAAAGAAACCCCGGCUAACUCCGUGCCAGCAGCCGCGGUAAUACGGAGGGGGUUAGCGUUGUUCGGAAUUACUGGGCGUAAAGCGCGCGUAGGCGGAUUAGAAAGUUGGGGGUGAAAUCCCGGGGCUCAACCCCGGAACUGCCUCCAAAACUGCUAGUCUAGAGUUCGAGAGAGGUGAGUGGAAUUCCGAGUGUAGAGGUGAAAUUCGUAGAUAUUCGGAGGAACACCAGUGGCGAAGGCGGCUCACUGGCUCGAUACUGACGCUGAGGUGCGAAAGUGUGGGGAGCAAACAGGAUUAGAUACCCUGGUAGUCCACACCGUAAACGAUGAAUGCCAGUCGUCGGAUAGUAUACUAUUCGGUGACACACCUAACGGAUUAAGCAUUCCGCCUGGGGAGUACGGUCGCAAGAUUAAAACUCAAAGGAAUUGACGG